GCCAGUAUGGCUUAGUGGUUUAAGAGUUAGACUAGAGGAGUCUAGAGACCAGGGUUUGAUUCCCCGUUCAGCCA